rnacentral:sRNA from 1 species
GUAGUGGCAAACGUAGUGGCUUUGAGACUCUCUCUGCCUUGCGAAUUGUGAUCCUUGGCUUGUACUGCAUCGUCGUCAAACAUUUUCAGCUGCAACCUGACGAAGAGAUUGUCGAUUUGUUCCUGCAGAUUCUGUUGAGACUAGCGGUCAAUGGUUUGCAAAGUUGCCGAAAUAUAAUAACAGGCUAUAAGCCAGCUAUGAACACGUGUAAAGGAGGUAAGAGAGGAGAGAGAAGGAAAACGAUGUGUAAUAUAUAUUAUGUGUAUAAGAGGUAGAAUCAUGUAUUAAUGGUGUAAUAUAUAUUUAUAGUUAACUAUUGUAUCAAUUAGCUAUUAGAUUAGCUAUAUAUGAAUAUAUGAUUUGAAGCUAAUAGU